UUUAGAUUGCUAAAGUAAUUUGAUAAUUGCAGGUUGUGCUCCUGAAAGCUCCUCACUUACCAUUGCACUGGUUUGUGGAAUUUUACUGCUUUUGAUCGUACUGGCUGUGCUGGUGCGCUACUGCAGAAAGGGUCUUCAUUGUGACAGGCUCACUCAGUGUCUGAACAUCAACCAAGGCUCUGCGAUGCGUCGAACAGAGAGCCAGAAUGAAACUCAAGUUUACUCCUCUCUCCUCCAUGGUGAUGCUUCUGUCUACGAGACAAUCAGAGGCUCUGGAAAAACUGAGAGUGAUGAGCCUGGCAAUGACUACAUUAAUGCUACACCUCUUCACCAGACUGAAGGUUGUGAAGGUCCAUGAAAAGAAGUGUGUCAUCGACAAAACAAGAGACGCAUGGACAAUAACAUGAAAAACAUGUUCAAACAUACUGGACACAAUUAUACAACUGCUGCCAUACCAACACCAGACACACAGUAUUUUGAGCAGUUUUGCUGUAGAUCGUAUUAAAGAAUUAUGGCCUGGAUUUAGCUUCGACAUAAACGGCAACACUGCUGAUACUGCUUUUAAACUCCUUAUAUCCUUAUUAUAUAUUUUUUGCAGUCAUUUUAUAGGUUAGAAGUUGUAGGAUCAUGUAAGUGUUUUUACAGUGUUGAUGUUAAGCAGGUUGCAUUGUUAUCAUCAGGCUUCUUCAACAUCUUAUUCAAACAGCUCUUUGGAAGAAACGUGAGAAAGUUUGUGUUUGUUGCACAAUGGUAAAUCUAUAUCAAUAUAAUUUUUACAUUGUACUAUGUCAUUUUUCUUAUA